CUGCCUUGUAGAACUUAUGGCUUGAGGGUUUUGUCCCCUAGGCCCUUCUGUUGCCGAGAUGGUUUCAAGUCAAUAUGAGGUUCUGGUAGUUGUCCCUUAGUGGUAGGUGGGUUUGUUAGGGCAGGGUCUGGUGCUCUUAUCAAUCUCAUCUGAAUUUGUUUUUAAAGCUCGUCACAACCUUGUUUCUGUUUCCAAAACAUGGAAUUAAACUGAACUCAGUUGCUGGUUCAUGAUGACAAAGCCAUGGAAAGGUUUAGGGCUGCCCACGACAUCCCUGCAGAUGUUCAGAUAGAGCAUCCCAGUCCGAACAAGGUUCUAGUAGUUGUUCCAAGCAAUGUGGAUUGUAUUCCGAUCUAUAUUGGCUGAUCUACCAGGCCGAGCUCCGGUUUCCCAUCAGCCCAUUAUUGAAGGAGGUGAUGGCACAGUGCCGCCUAAACUUCAUGCAAGUGUCCGUCAACUUUGUCUGAACCGUGCUUGUGGUCAACAUGUUGAUGUGUAUAUUGGAAAAACCCUUCAAUACCGAUAAUUAGCUUAAUAUUUACACAAUAGUUUGACCAAAGAGGGAGUUGGGCAACCCCCUCUACUUGGGUAAUCAUUACUUGUGCCUUAGGAAUCCCAAUCAACCUCAAACAAGGUUGAUCGAUGGUAACCUGGACAAAGAUUUGUUCUUGAUUAGUUUGUCUAGGUUUUAGGUGGUUGGGAGUUCCGAGCUGGGGAUGACGGUCUCUAGUCAUUCCCCAGGUACAACAGUUGCUUGCCUAACAGUAGGUAUUUUUUUCAUCGAGUCUAUGCAUUUUAUACGUUUGCACAUUCCUCCGAUGUUGAUACCUCUUUUCGUUGUUUGUGUAGAAUUCAAUGAUAUAUUCAAAUGCCAAAGUGAAAAGUGUAAGGAGGCCAUCCAGGCUUCCAAUAACAAGCAAGCUUCUAGGGAUGUCAUUGUUUUUCUCGAAUACGAGCCGAUUUACCGGCAUAGGAUUCCGCGCAGAACCACAGAGCUUGUCAGGGCAAGUCUUCCUCCUUUCCGCAUUGAAGGUCGGGCUCUAAGGCAUGAAGCUUUCAGUCCGGAGAGGUCCGGCGAUGAGCUUAAUGCACACCGUCCUGCUACCCAAGUUCAAGGUCAUAAAGAGGAUGUUACCUCAAGCUCGUUGAGCAACACUUCUCCGGAUCCCAUUGACAGCGAGGAUGAGGAGGGAAAAGAGGCUGUAAACCAACUUGUGCUGAAUAAGAGGUGAGGUCGAGUGAUUCCCGUAGUUAAGCUAGAGGAUCUAGCCUUACCCAUUUCCAUCUUGAGCUCGGACAACGAGCAUUCAAACGAUCUUGCUCGCGUUCCCCCUCAGUUCGUAAAAGAGGUUGAGGCCGUUAGACCGAGCUUGGGGCAAAGCCAACGUAAUGAGGUUCAAGAGUUUGAAGAAAGCCACUUCAGCUGCCGAUUUCCCCAUCAUGGCGGCUCUUCUUGUUCCCCAACAAAUUGUUGAUUUGAUCAUGGAGUUGGUCAAGCUCACCAGAGGUCCCUCCUCUGGGCAAUCGUAAGGGGAAGGAACUCUCUGCUGGCGGGCCGAAGAGGCCCUACAAGAAAGUAGGGGAAACAAGCUCUAUUACGACUUUCGAUUUUUGAAAGCUCGAAUUCUCCACCUGUGAGGUCGGCAGGCAAUUAAUAGAAGCUGACUUCGCCCAAGAUCAUGACACAAAUGUGGCUCUUGCGCGAGCUGUCAUGUUGCCAAACGACAUCUCUGCCUUCGUCGAAAAGACCUCAAAGACGAUGAAAAGUUUGUUGGUGAUGCAACACAUUCAGGUAAGCAUUAUGACUUCGGUACGUUUUGACUUGUAUAUCCAGAAUUGUAUUUUAAAAUUGUGCAUUUGGUUUGCAAAGCCUUCAAGAGCGAUGGAAAUCUCGGACCGCAUGGCAGAGCACUCGUCCGAGCUAAAGAGGGCCAAAAAGAAGACAGGUAGUUUGGAGUCCGAGUUGAAGAAAGCAAAGCUCGUACUGGCCGACGUUGAUAAGAUGAAGGCAGAUUUAAGCUGCUGUGGAGAAAGCCCAGGACUCCAGCUACGCGGCUGCUACCCAAGCUCAAGACAAGGCUACAACUACCAAGGCUACCCUUGCCUAGCUUCAAAUGGUGGCGUGUGGCCCCAUCUACGAGCGAGUCUUCAACAACAGAAUCAAUCGGGCAGGGGAUAACUAUAGUAGGUAGGUCCGCUCUGAAUCUUUCUUGGAGGGAUGGCUUAUUUGUUUGGCAGAGCUCAGUGUACCUGAGGACGACCCCACUUGGACCAAGGCUGCCCCUGCUCCCGAGGUCCCCAAAACUCCUACACAUUAUUCUCCCAUGAUCUUUCCCGGCUUCGACGAGGAGGGGUACAUGAACAGGCUGGAUGAAGAUAAGGAUGUUCAUGAGCCUAUUCUUGCUCCUGUUGUGGCCUUGAACAUCAAAGUUGACAAUGUUGCGGAGGAAAUCGGGGGAACGGUUGCUGAGGAAUCUGGGGAAAUAUCCACCGACGAGAC
rnacentral:lncRNA from 1 species